GGGGGAGUAACGAUCCGGAAACGGGUAGCUAAUACCGCAUAGUUUCUUGAUCGCAUGAUCGGGAAAGGAAAGACGGCCUUUGUGCUGUCGCUUAUGGAUGGACCCGCGGCGUAUUAGUUAGUUGGUGAGGUAACGGCUCACCAAGACGAUGAUACGUAGCCGACCUGAGAGGGUGAUCGGCCACAUUGGGACUGAGACACGGCCCAAACUCCUACGGGAGGCAGCAGUAGGGAAUCUUCCGCAAUGGACGAAAGUCUGACGGAGCAACGCCGCGUGAGUGAAGAAAAGGUUUUCGGAUCGUAAAACUCUGUUGUCAGAGAAGAACAAGUUGGAGAGUAACUGCUCCAGCCUUGACGGUAUCUGACCAGAAAGCCACGGCUAACUACGUGCCAGCCGCAGC
rnacentral:rRNA from 1 species